rnacentral:ncRNA from 1 species
GAUAGAGGUGCGGUAUUGCGCGUAAUAUGGGGUAGGCUGCCGAAGCUGAGGAUGCCGUAUGAAUAGCACUGCCGCCGAAAGGAAGAAAACCGGCAGCUUCUUCCUUGGUUGUAUGCCGCAGGGGUAUAUAACUGUCAUCAUAACGCUGUUUGAUGGAGAGCUAUCAGAU